rnacentral:tRNA from 1 species
AGCCCUGAGGUGUUAUAACAUACUAGAUUGCAAAUCUUGAGUCGCAGAGUAGAAGCUGCCGGGGCUU